GAUGAACGCUGGCGGCGUGCCUAAUACAUGCAAGUCGAGCGAACAGACGAGGAGCUUGCUCCUCUGACGUUAGCGGCGGACGGGUGAGUAACACGUGGAUAACCUACCUAUAAGACUGGGAUAACUUCGGGAAACCGGAGCUAAUACCGGAUAAUAUAUUGAACUGCAUGGUUCAAUAGUGAAAGACGGUUUUGCUGUCACUUAUAGAUGGAUCCGCGCCGCAUUAGCUAGUUGGUAAGGUAACGGCUUACCAAGGCAACGAUGCGUAGCCGACCUGAGAGGGUAAUCGGCCACACUGGAACUGAGACACGGUCCAGACUCCUACGGGAGGCAGCAGUAGGGAAUCUUCCGCAAUGGGCGAAAGCCUGACGGAGCAACGCCGCGUGAGUGAUGAAGGUCUUCGGAUCGUAAAACUCUGUUAUUAGGGAAGAACAAAUGAGUAAGUAACUAUGCACGUCUUGACGGUACCUAAUCAGAAAGCCACGGCUAACUACGUG
rnacentral:rRNA from 1 species